UAGGGAAUAUUGGGCAAUGGGCGAAAGCCUGACCCAGCCACGCCGCGUGCAGGAAGACGGCCCUCUGGGUUGUAAACUGCUUUUGACUGGGAAGAAAGAAGCUCAUGCGUGAGAAGUUGACGGUACCAGUCGAAUAAGCCACGGCUAACUACGUGCCAGCAGCCGCGGUAAUACGUAGGUGGCGAGCGUUAUCCGGAUUUAUUGGGUCUAAAGGGAGCGUAGGCGGCUGAUUAAGUCAGCGGUGAAAGGUAGCAGCUUAACUGUUUUACAUGCCGUUGAUACUGGUUAGCUUGAGUUGACAGAAGGCAGAUAGAAUUUCUGGUGUAGCGGUGAAAUGCUUAGAUACCAGAAGGAAUACCGAUUGCGAAGGCAGUCUGCUGCAGUCACACUGACGCUGAGG
rnacentral:rRNA from 1 species